rnacentral:rRNA from 1 species
UUAAAUUGAAGAGUUUGAUCAUGGCUCAGAUUGAACGCUGGCGGCAGGCCUAACACAUGCAAGUCGAACGGUAACAGAAAGCAGCUUGCUGCUUUGCUGACGAGUGGCGGACGGGUGAGUAAUGUCUGGGAAACUGCCUGAUGGAGGGGGAUAACUACUGGAAACGGUAGCUAAUACCGCAUAAUGUCGAAAGACCAAAGAGGGGG